rnacentral:rRNA from 1 species
UACGGAGGGGGCUAGCGUUGUUCGGAAUUACUGGGCGUAAAGCGCACGUAGGCGGACUGUUAAGUCGGGGGUGAAAUCCUGGGGCUCAACCUCAGAAUUGCCUCCGAUACUGGCAGUCUCGAGUGCGGGAGAGGUGAGUGGAAUUCCCAGUGAUAGAGGUGAAAUUCGUAGAUAUUGGGAAGAACACCAAUGGCGAAGGCAGCUCUCUGGGACGGU